rnacentral:rRNA from 1 species
AGUGAACGCUGGCGGUAGGCCUAACACAUGCAAGUCGAACGGCAGCACAGUAAGAGCUUGCUCUUACGGGUGGCGAGUGGCGGACGGGUGAGGAAUACAUCGGAAUCUACUUUUUCGUGGGGGAUAACGUAGGGAAACUUACGCUAAUACCGCAUACGACCUACGGGUGAAAGCAGGGGAUCUUCGGACCUUGCGCGAUUGAAUGAGCCGAUGUCGGAUUAGCUAGUUGGCGGGGUAAAGGCCCACCAAGGCGACGAUCCGUAGCUGGUCUGAGAGGAUGAUCAGCCACACUGGAAGUGAGACACGGUCCAGACUCCGACGGGAGGCAGCAGUGGGGAAUAUUGGACAAUGGGGGCGAGCGUGAUCCAGACAUACCGCGUGGGUGAAGAAGGCGUUCGGGUUGUAAAGCCCUUUUGUUGGGAAAGAAAAGCAGCAGGUUAAUACCCCGCUGUUCUGACGGUACCCAAAGAAUAAGCACCGGCUAACUUCGUG